rnacentral:misc_RNA from 1 species
AUUUUAAUCACCUCAUACUCUAAAUAAUUUUUUUUCUUUUCUUUCCCUUGAAUUGAAUUGCAUUUCUCAAACAGUAAAAGCCUGAAUUCAAGAUGAUGAUGGCAAAUGCCAACCUGAUAUGAAAUCGUCCUUUCAAAUUUGUUUGGGCCUGUGGAAUUUAAUAUAAUAAUAUAUCCAUUGUUGAGAUAAUGGCUUCUUCAAGGAAAUGGGCAGCCAUCAUUUCUUUCUUUGCCUCUUGGUUCCUUUUCUUGAUCAUACUCUUUCAAGUCUCUCUCUUCAGGGUACCAUGUAGAACUGGAAUAUGUACAUCACCGGUAGAGGUGACAUCCUCCCAGUUGAUUGCAACAGAAAUCUGCCCUGCAUUUUUUGUUCAGGCUCUUCUCUACCCUGGUGCCAUUGCAAAAGCUUUCCGCAAGAACAGAGCCAUCCCAAGUUAUGAUAAUUUGUUGAAGAUAUAUAACCUUACCAAUUUGAAAAAAGACUCUGCUGCAACUGAUCUUUAUCACCUGGAGAUUCUUGCAGGAAGCUACAUGACUGUGGCAGGAGCACUAUUAGGUCUUAUAAGGCCAGGGAGAAUGAGCUUCUUUGGAACACUUCUUAUCAUAUGGGGUUUUGUACGAGAAGGCAUUCUAAGAAAAUCUGCUAAUAUGAAUCCUGUGAAAACAUUUCAUAUCUACCCAGCAAUGUUCAUUGCAGUGCUUUUCGCUGCCUUAUCCAUAAGAAAGGAUGUCAGAAAACUGAUCCGUUGUUCCAGAGCUCGCCGAGUUGCCAAAGCUAUGCGAUCCAAAGCAAAACAUAUGUGACAGGGAUUUCAAAACUUGUACCUGUUCAAGUAGCAUUUUCAUAUAGAUAAGAUGCUGACUUUCAUAAUCUUUGCAAAGAAAGGAUUAGAAGAAUUUUUUUUCAUCAUGUACUUGGAGUAUUCUAUUCUUGAAGAUUAAUGUUUGUAAUUGGUUUCUAGGUUUCUUGUGUACAUCACUUCGGCCCAUGGUUGCACCUGGUUUUUUACAGGAAUGAAAUAAAAUAAGGGUAAAUUUUCAAGCAAUGAGCCCUAAUUUCAUUUUGUGGGGACCCUGGCUAGGCAACCCAGAUGCAUUGGCAACAUCAGCAUAUGCAACCACAAGGCAUGUGAACAAAUAUGGAUUUUGUCUCUCCAUCCUGUGCCAAAGUCCUACUUUCAAUGAGAGGUCCCCAGUGUGUAAAUGCUGACUUAAAAAGUCCUUGUGUGCAUUGCAUUUAGAUAGUGUUGUCAUGUCUGGCUUUUAAUAUUAAUGAAUCAGAAAGGCUGUGUAUGAAAUGAGAGAAAAAAAACUUAUUCAUAAUUACAAAUCUU